rnacentral:misc_RNA from 1 species
GAAAUGCGAUAAGUAAUGCGAAUUGCAGAAUUCAGCGAGUCAUCGAAUCUUUGAACGCACAUUGCGCCCCUUGGUAUUCCGAGGGGCACAUCUGUUCGAGCGUCAUUUCACCAGUCAAGCUCAUGCUUGGUGUUGGGCUCUCUCGUCCCCCACCUUUGGGGGGACGGGCCCGAAAGAACUCGGCGGCGUGGUCCUGCUCCGGGCGUAGCAGCAUAUCUUUCGCUCGUGGGGCUAGGGUCCAGCGCUUUAGCCGUUAAAAUAGCGGGAAAAGAGAGUAACGUCCCUUUUCCUCUACAACCAAGAGUUUGACCUCGGAUCAGAUGGGGACACCCGCUGAACUUAA